rnacentral:rRNA from 1 species
GACGAACGCUGGCGGCGUGCUUAACACAUGCAAGUCGAACGGAAAGGCCCUGCUUUUGUGGGGUGCUCGAGUGGCGAACGGGUGAGUAACACGUGAGUAACCUGCCCUUGACUUUGGGAUAACUUCAGGAAACUGGGGCUAAUACCGGAUAGGAGCUCCUGCUGCAUGGUGGGGGUUGGAAAGUUUCGGCGGUUGGGGAUGGACUCGCGGCUUAUCAGCUUGUUGGUGGGGUAGUGGCUUACCAAGGCUUUGACGGGUAGCCGGCCUGAGAGGGUGACCGGCCACAUUGGGACUGGGGUACGGCCCAGACUCCUACGGGAGGCAGCAGUGGGGAAUAGUGCACAAUGGGCGGCAGCCUGAUGCAGCAACGCCGCGUGCGGGAUGACGGCCUUCGGGUUGUAAACCGCUUUCGCCUGUGACGAAGCGUGAGUGACGGUAAUGGGUAAAGAAGCACCGGCUAACUACGU